UACGGAGGAUCCGAGCGUUAUCCGGAUUUAUUGGGUUUAAAGGGUGCGUAGGCGGCUUUUUAAGUCAGCGGUGAAAUUUUGCAGCUUAACUGUAACAGUGCCGUUGAUACUGGGGAGCUAGGAUUUGGUUGCUGUGGGUGGAAUGUGUGGUGUAGCGGUGAAAUGCUUAGAGACCACACAGAAUAUCGAUUGCGAAGGCAGCUCACAAAGCCAAGAUUGACGCUGAGGCACGAAAGUGUGGGGAUCAAACAGGAUUAGAUAUCCG
rnacentral:rRNA from 1 species